CAGCGUGCACGGGGUUCCCAGGGGCACGACAUGCAAUACCGGAAAUCGAACUCAGGUUCUUACGCUUGCCAGGUUUGUAUCAGGAGAUUGUCAGGUCUGCAAUGGAAGCUUGAAGAGUUAUGAUGGACGCUGAACAGUCUACCCCAGGAGGCUGAAAGAACUGCACUGGGAGCCGAAGUCUUCACUGGAAGCCAGGAGAGGAUAUCCACACUGAAGACUAGAGCUCCUCUGAGCCGAUUCGUCCUUCCUCAUUUCUCCUUUGUACCAGCCAAGUGUGUUCCAUGAAGUGGCCAUGAACACUGAAGCGGGGAUACUGAGUCUUUGCUUUGAGAAGAAGGACAGAAUUGGGCUCCUGUAUGACUCUGACCACACCACUGAGUUACAUUUCCAGCCUUUUUUCUCUGUUCUUUGCCCCCCCCCCACCUUUUUGAGAAAAGUUCUUGCUACAUCACUGAAUUGCCUAGGCUGGGUUCCAAUUUGCAGUCUUCCUGCCUCAGCCUCUGAGAAUGCUGGGA